GCGUCAAACACGCGCAGCAGAUCAGAUCACAUCACACCAGACCGAGCCGUUCCCGCAUCGGGAUCGUGCAGUUUAGACCGUUCUUGUUUCCAUAUCGGAGUUUGUGCAUGUGCAGAUAUUCGGAUUAACAGAUGGAGGGCUGUAAGUGAAUGAACAAGCUCGUUUAAAGCGCUUUAUCCAGGACGUGUCUGAAGCUUUGAUGUACAUGCUGAUGCGAGAUCAGAUUACAGGCAUCAGCAUCAGACCGCAGGCUUUCAUCUGAGCUUUUACUUCAGAGCUGGACACGGGACGGGUUCAGACCUCAGCAGCGAGCGCACUGGAUCAGUUUACCGCAGGAGACGGCGAUCUCACGAGCGACUCGUUACCGUGUACUGUAUGUGAGAAAGACCUUUCACAAUGCCCCGCGCUCUGAUCCUCUCCAGUUUUCCUCUUCAGAGGAUACUCGUCCUUCCACUGUGUGUUAUGUUUGCAGUAAUGGCCGAGGAGAGAAGAGAUUGCAGGGAGCAGGAAUACCAGGAUAAGUCUGGAAACUGUAUUCCCUGCCGGCAGUGUGAUGCUGGACAAGAGCUUUCCAAGGUUUGCCAACUCCGCACUAGGCUAUUUAUUUUUUGUUUUAGCCUAAUUUGAAAUAUUGGUGCACGUAUAAAACUUGUAUCUUUAAUUUCCUAAAAAGAUUACAUCUUAAAUCAAGAAAAAGCACUCACUUCCCUUGAAUUGAUUCCCAUUGAGCUUAAUUCUGGAAUUAUUUCUGUACAGCACCUACCACAGAUUAAUAUGCAGAUAUAUUUAGACCUUUAUACUUUGA